CCGUAACUAUAACGGUCCUAAGGUAGCGAAAUUCCUUGUCGGGUAAGUUCCGACCCGCACGAAAGGCGUAAUGAUUUGAGCGCUGUCUCGACAAUGCAUCCGGUGAAAUUGAAGUACCAGUGAAGAUGCUGGUUACCCGCGCCAGGACGGAAAGACCCCAUGGAGCUUUACUCCAGUUUGAUACUGGGAUUCGGUACUGCAUGUACAGGAUAGGUGGGAGACGAAGAAGGAUGGACGCCAGUCUGUCCGGAGUCGCUGUUGGGAUACCACCCCUGUAGUACUGGGUUUCUAACCAGUUGCCAUGAACUGGCAAUGGGACAAUGUCAGGCGGGGAGUUUGACUGGGGCGGUCGCCUCCGAAAGGGUAUCGGAGGCGCUCAAAGGUUCCCUCAGAAUGGUUGGAAACCAUUUGAAGAGUGCAAAGGCAGAAGGGAGCUUGACUGCGACACCGACGGGUGGAGCAGGUACGAAAGUAGGACUUAGUGAUCCGGUGGUAUAAAGUGGGAUUGCCAUCGCUCAACGGAUAAAAGCUACCCUGGGGAUAACAGGCUUAUCACUCCCAAGAGUUCACAUCGACGGAGUGGUUUGGCACCUCGAUGUCGGCUCAUCGCAUCCUGGGGCUGUAGUAGGUCCCAAGGGUUGGGCUGUUCGCCCAUUAAAGCGGUACGCGAGCUGGGUUCAGAACGUCGUGAGACAGUUCGGUCCCUAUCCGGCGCGGGCGGAGGAUAUUUGAGAGGAGCUGUCCUUAGUACGAGAGGACCGGGAUGGACGGACCACUGGUGUAUCUGUUGUCGACCAACGGCAUGGCAGAGUAGCCAAGUCUGGAAGGGAUAAACGCUGAAGGCAUCUAAGCGUGAAGCCCCCCUCAAGAUGAGAUAUCCCUCCUUCGGGAGUAAGACCCCUUGAAGACUACAAGGUAGAUAGGGCAGAGGUGGAAGCAUGGCAACAUGUGGAGCUGACUGUUACUAAUAGGUCGAGGGCUUAAUCUG
rnacentral:rRNA from 1 species